AUUGAACGCUGGCGGCAGGCCUAACACAUGCAAGUCGAACGGCAGCUCAGAAGAGCUUGCUCUUUGGGUGGCGAGUGGCGGACGGGUGAGUAAUGUCUGGGAAACUGCCCGAUGGAGGGGGAUAACUACUGGAAACGGUAGCUAAUACCGCAUAACGUCGCGAGACCAAAGUGGGGGACCUUCGGGCCUCACACCAUCGGAUGUGCCCAGAUGGGAUUAGCUAGUAGGUGGGGUAAUGGCUCACCUAGGCGACGAUCCCUAGCUGGUCUGAGAGGAUGACCAGCCACACUGGAACUGAGACACGGUCCAGACUCCUACGGGAGGCAGCAGUGGGGAAUAUUGCACAAUGGGCGCAAGCCUGAUGCAGCCAUGCCGCGUGUAUGAAGAAGGCCUUCGGGUUGUAAAGUACUUUCAGCGGGGAGGAAGGCGGUGAGGUUAAUAACCUCGCCGAUUGACGUUACCUGCAGAAGAAGCACCGGCUAACUCCGUGCCAGCCGCCGCCGUAACAC
rnacentral:rRNA from 1 species